UACGUAGGGUGCGAGCGUUGUCCGGAAUUAUUGGGCGUAAAGAGCUCGUAGGCGGUCUGUCGCGUCGAUCGUGAAAACUUGGGGCUUAACCCUGAGCUUGCGGUCGAUACGGGCAUGACUGGAGUUCGGCAGGGGAGACUGGAAUUCCUGGUGUAGCGGUGAAAUGCGCAGAUAUCAGGAGGAACACCGACGGCGAAGGCAGCACUCUGGGCCGGUACUGACGCUGAGGAGCGAAAGCAUGGGGAGCGAACAGG
rnacentral:rRNA from 1 species